rnacentral:rRNA from 1 species
GAUGAACGCUGGCGGCGUGCCUAAUACAUGCAAGUCGAGCGAAUGGAUUAAGAGCUUGCUCUUAUGAAGUUAGCGGCGGACGGGUGAGUAACACGUGGGUAACCUGCCCAUAAGACUGGGAUAACUCCGGGAAACCGGGGCUAAUACCGGAUAACAUUUUGAACCGCAUGGUUCGAAAUUGAAAGGCGGCUUCGGCUGUCACUUAUGGAUGGACCCGCGUCGCAUUAGCUAGUUGGUGAGGUAACGGCUCACCAAGGCAACGAUGCGUAGCCGACCUGAGAGGGUGAUCGGCCACACUGGGACUGAGACACGGCCCAGACUCCUACGGGAGGCAGCAGCAGGGAAUCUUCCGCAAUGGACGAAAGUCUGACGGAGCAACGCCGCGUGAGUGAUGAAGGCUUUCGGGUCGUAAAACUCUGUUGUUAGGGAAGAGCAAGUGCUAGUUGAAUAAGCUGACACCUUGACGGUACCUAACCAGAAAGCCACGGCUAACUACGUGCCAGCCGCCGCGGUAA